GACGAACGCUGGCGGCGUGCUUAACACAUGCAAGUCGAACGAAGAGCGAUGGAAGCUUGCUUCUAUCAAUCUUAGUGGCGAACGGGUGAGUAACGCGUAAUCAACCUGCCCUUCAGAGGGGGACAACAGUUGGAAACGACUGCUAAUACCGCAUACGAUCUAAUCUCGGCAUCGAGGAUAGAUGAAAGGUGGCCUCUACAUGUAAGCUAUCACUGAAGGAGGGGAUUUCGUCUGAUUAGCUAGUUGGAGGGGUAACGGCCCACCAAGGCGAGGAUCAGUAGCCGGUCCGAGAGGAUGAACUGCCACAUUGGGACUGAGACACGGCCCAGACUCCUACGGGAGGCAGCAGUGGGGAAUCUUCCGCAAUGGACGAAAGUCUGACGGAGCAACGCCGCGUGAGCGAUGACGGCCUUCGGGUUGUAAAGCUCUGUUAAUCGGGACGAAAGGCCUUCUUGCGAAUAGUGAGAAGGAUUGACGGUACCGGAAGAGAAAGCCACGGCUAACUACGUG
rnacentral:rRNA from 1 species